GGCCGGUGCUGUAUUGGCUCUUGUAGUCGAUGCAGGACUUGGUCAUCCGUACGGGAAGCCAGCUUGACCUUCACUGGUCGACUGGUGGAUCGUACACUUUACUUUGAAAAAAUUAGAGUGUUUCAGGCAGGCAAUUGCUUGGAUACUGCAGCAUGGAAUAAUGGAAUAGGACUUUGACCUAUUUAUUGGUUUCUCGAGGUCAAAGUA
rnacentral:rRNA from 1 species